CCUACGGGUGGCAGCAGUGAGGAAUAUUGGUCAAUGGGCGCAAGCCUGAACCAGCCAAGUAGCGUGAGGGAUGAAGGUCCUAUGGGUUGUAAACCUCUUUUAUAAAGGAAUAAAGUGCGGCACGUGUGCCUUUUUGUAUGUACCUUAUGAAUAAGGAUCGGCUAACUCCGUGCCAGCAGCCGCGGUAAUACGGAGGAUCCGAGCGUUAUCCGGAUUUAUUGGGUUUAAAGGGUGCGUAGGUGGGUUUUUAAGUCAGGUGUGAAAGUCUGUGGCUCAACCGUAGAAUUGCAGUUGAAACUGGCAGGCUUGAGUAUGUUUGAGGUAGGCGGAAUGCGUGGUGUAGCGGUGAAAUGCUUAGAUAUCACGCAGAACCCCGAUUGCGAAGGCAGCUUGCCAAGC
rnacentral:rRNA from 1 species